UCUGACCAAGCCGCCAUAUAGCAGUUGAACAAAUCCCAGCUAAACAUCGGUGACUCUCUCUCCUCUCCUCUCUCUCUCUCUCUCAGCUCGCAUUCGAUGGCCGAAGAAUCCCAAGAUAAAGCCGAUGAGCCCACCGAACCCCGCGAUUUGGAAUCUUUGAUCGAGAUCAAGGUCCUGUUCUUCGCCAGGGCUCGAGAUCUCACUGGCUCAAAGGAAAUCCCCCUCAAACUGCCCGCUGGUAGCACCGCAGGGGAUUGCAUGAGUAAGCUUUUGACCCAAUUCCCCCAGUUGGGAGAGAUUUAUAAUUCUGUGGUUUUGGCUUUGAACGAGGAGUAUGCGCCUGAGACUGCAGUUUUGAAGAAUAAGGAUGAGCUGGCUAUCAUUCCUCCGAUCAGCGGCGGAUGAGGAGGUGGAAGGUAUACGAAAAAGGCGAUACUCUCGUAAUUUUUUAAGUUCAUAUUGCUUGGAAAAACCUGUGCUACAUGAAUUUUUGAUCGUGUACAACUUCCAAUAAGGGAAUAUAUCUGGGGUGGAUGUUUGGUCUUGUUGCAUGUUAUGUUGUCAUGCGAUGUGAGAUGUAUGUUUGGUUGUAUCCUUCGGGUAUUUGGAAAGCCAAUAGCCGUUGCCGCAAAUUUCAUGUGUGCUAUUAUGUUAUGCAGGCUUCCUCGGUAGGGUUUAAUAUCGUGUCGAUCCAUUUCUUGUGGCGCAUUUGGUUACGGGUUGAAAUUUGAAUACCAAUUUUGUAUUAUAAAGAUUUGAUUGUAAUCGAUGCCGACACUUGGUGCAUAUCGUGCACAUAUCAUAACCUUGCUUCCUCAUUUGUAUGCACGUAGGUUGUCAGAAUGCGCAUAUGUUGUUGUAUUUUCAACCUCUCAUCAUUAUGCAUCUAUUGGCCCCUUAUUUUACAUGUUACGCGUCACGUAUCCUUUUAUCUAUAAUUAAUAGAGUUGUGAACGGGAGAUGAUAGACAACAAGAAUCGCUAUUUCUUCAUAAGCUCUUUGUCUUAUUUUUCUCAUCAUGCACUCCUAGGCUAUGGAUGACCUUGAGGGUUACUAGCCUACUAGGACAAGCUCUUGGAGAACUUCCAAUUUGCUGCUUCAAAAGUCUACAGGAAGUGCUCCAAGGCAGAGAGUGGUCUGAAUUUCUAUAUUUUGGGCAGGAUCCAUAUCUACAAAGUUUAGAUGCAAAGUAACUUACAUACGAGCGCCUGCGUUACUGCUCAGGUUUUAUAUUUAUACAGAUUUCUGCGGCAGUUGGUCUAUGACAAGUUCUCGAUGAGCAAGAACACUUCUCAUGUUGGAAAUAUGGUUUCCAGUCAUCAAGAAGAGUGUGAUUGAGAGCAUACAAUGUUGACGAGAAUAUUAGUCUAGUGCUUGUUCUUUAACUAAAUCUCUCCCAGUAAACAUUUUCGGGCAUCAUUUGAAUGAUGUGCUUCUGUAAUGAUUUUUGAUAGCACAAGAAUGGUAUCAUGCUUAAUUAUUUCCCUUCUGUGGGUAAGGAGAUGCUGUCAUAUUGGCA